ACGAGAGGACCGGAGUGGACGCAUCACUGGUGUUCGGGUUGUCAUGCCAAUGGCACUGCCCGGUAGCUAAAUGCGGAAGAGAUAAGUGCUGAAAGCAUCUAAGCACGAAACUUGCCCCGAGAUGAGUUCUCCCUGAGACUUUAAGUCUCCUGAAGGAACGUUAAAGACGAUGACGUUGAUAGGCCGGGUGUGUAAGCGCAGCGAUGCGUUGAGCUAACCGGUACUAAUGAACCGUGAGGCUUAACCUUACAACGCCGAAG
rnacentral:rRNA from 1 species